AACCCGUAUUGAAACAGUGGAUUA
rnacentral:siRNA from 1 species